GACGUAGGGGGCCAGCGUUGCUCGGAAUUACUGGGCGUAAAGGGUUCGUAGGCGGUGCGGCAAGUCGGAAGUGAAAUCUCUGGGCUUAACUCAGAGGCUGCUCCCGAAACUGCCGUGCUUGAGUGCGGGAGAGGCGAGUGGAAUUGCAGGUGUAGCGGUGAAAUGCGUAGAUAUCUGCAGGAACACCCGUGGCGAAAGCGGCGCGCUGGACCACUACUGACGCUGAGGAACGAAAGCUAGGGGAGCAAACAGG
rnacentral:rRNA from 1 species